rnacentral:rRNA from 1 species
GAAUCCGACUGUUUAAUUAAAACAAAGCAUUGCGAUAGCCUCAAAAGGUGUUGACGCAAUGUGAUUUCUGCCCAGUGCUCUGAAUGUCAUAGUGAUGAAAUUCAAUCAAGCGCGGGUAAACGGCGGGAGUAUCUAUGACUCUCUUAAGGUAGCCAAAUGCCUCGUCAUCUAUUUAGUGACGCGCAUGAAUGGAUUAACGAGAUUCCCAC